ACGCUUCGUGUUAUUUUACAUUGAAAUUAAUAAAAUACAAAAUAUAUACUGAUCUCAGUGUCUUUCUUAUUUCUUGUAGUAUUUACAAAGUUUUACUACGCAACCUGGCAUUUUAGUUUCAAUUAUUAUCAAAGUUUAACAGAACAUGUGGCACGUCAACGUCACAUAUUGUUCGAGACUGGCUUGAGUACGCCCACUUGGGCGUAGUAUUAGUUGCCGCACUUUGCGACUACGCCUGCGGUAUCUUUCUACCUUAAUCUAAGGUUUAUUAAGAGAAAAAUAUUUCGGAGUAAUGCCAAGGCCUUUUUUGUUUCCAAUUUUAAGUUCAAGCAUGAAAACUUUAUUGCACGUUACCCCUUAAAUAAACGACUGUAAGUUGGCGACUAAGCUUAUCUUUUAUAGCUUUAUAACUUCUAAGUAUAGUUUUUGUAACCUCGGACUAAGAAAAUAAGAUGGAGGGAGAAUCUCCGGGACGAUUUGCGAGCACAGACAGAAAAAUCUAGAAAUUUCAUAUAUUAAUUAUUAUAGAAUUUUAAUAGAUCCGAUAGCUCGUCCAGCGCCUACAGAAUAAAUCAAGGCUUGGAAACCAGAAAAAAAUCGAACUGUAUCGUAACAUAUAGAACUUUUUAUUUGGCUUUGUUAUACUUUCGAACCAAAAUGUUAGGGUUUUUGCUCACAUCAUUUACGGCCGUUCCCAAUAAACUAUCUACAGAUAGAGAUAAAAUACUACCGUCUACUAUCAGUAAUAAGCUGUCAAUAAUCUGAACCUGUCCCAAUAUACCCGAUAAGUCAUUCUUAUCGCCUUAUAUUGGGACGCGUAAUUUGCAAUUUCCAUACAAACUUCUAUCGCUGGUGAGUUAUACGUCCUCCCAAUGACAGACAACGUGUACGGAUAAGGUGAGUUACCGUCGAUAAGUUUAUUGGGACAGAAAUGUCAACGAUAGUUACGAUUUUUAUCUCAAGCAGGAGAUAGACUGAAUAUUGGGAACGGCCGUUAUACGUCUAGAUAGUCGGUGACAGCUGUGAAUACGUCAAAAAACGUGAGUUUAGAGCUAACCUCUAUUUGGAGCAAUGCACACUAACACAAAAUGUCAUACAAAUCGCGAGUGUAAGACGUAGCUUGUCACGCACACUAAACUAAUAUUCCUGGCCUAUUUUUAUCGGUUGUCUAACAGCAAGAGACUAUCUAGACGUAUUAUCUAAGGGUUAUUUGUUAUUUAUUUUUUAUAAUGAGUUUGUUGAAUAUACAACAACAUUACAACCUUUUUAGUAAAGCUUUUACCAUCGCCGAAUCAUUUGUCAAAGCACAGUUCCAAUUUUAGUGAUAUUAAGUUCAUAUUUGUUUAACAAGACCGCACCAAACGCGCGCUCAGUAUUAUUUAAGUAGCUCACUCGUUUAUUCUCCAUUCGUGCGGAUUAAAUCGGUUAACGAGUGUUAUAAAAUCGGAACGUAGGUAAUAAGACAUAUACGCACUGAUUUAAAACCGUUCCAAGCCGGAGAAAAUAUAUAAAUUAUAGUUUCUACUCUAAUCUUAUUUUGUUCGGGGCAGAAAUAAUUAGACACAGGAAUUGUUAAAUGUUGUUAGAAAAUGCUUAAAAUCUGUUUGGCAAUUGAAAUAAAAUAUUUCACUCGGUAA